rnacentral:rRNA from 1 species
UACGUAGGGUGCAAGCGUUAAUCGGAAUUACUGGGCGUAAAGCGUGCGCAGGCGGUUUUGUAAGUCUGUCGUGAAAGCCCCGGGCUCAACCUGGGAAUUGCGAUGGAGACUGCAAGGCUUGAAUCUGGCAGAGGGGGGUAGAAUUCCACGUGUAGCAGUGAAAUGCGUAGAGAUGUGGAGGAACACCGAUGGGCGAAGGCAGCCCCCCUGGGUCAAGAUUGACGCUCAUGCACGAAAGCGUGGGGAGCAAACAGG